AAUAACACCUCCUCUUCUUCAGCACCCAAAGUCGAAGGAAAGCUCUGCUUGUGGGCCUUUCAAUGGAGGAAAGUGCUGCAUUUGUCACUGUUGCAUAAUAUUGCCCACUUCUCCGUCCCCGUUUGUAAUUGCAUUUUCUUACAUUCAUUGCUGAGGUGGGAUCGAAGUGGCGUCAAACAUGCGUAAAAAUCAACGCCAUCCAAGCAGAGAACCACCGAGAGAGGAUUUAACGCCGCUCAUCUGAGGCCAACCUCGAAUUAUUGUUUUUUCCUCCUCCCUCAACUCUCAUCGAUCAAAUAAGGAAAUUUCUCUGAGUUUGCACCGCAGAGCAGCUUUUCGACGACGUCAAUACUGCAACGAUUGGAUCCCGACUCCCGGAGCGACGGGCAAACCUGUAGGCAGCCAUGGGUGCGUUCCUGGACAAGCCGAAGACGGAGAAGCACAGCGCCCACGGCGACGGCAACGGCCUUCGCUACGGCCUGAGCUCCAUGCAGGGAUGGCGGGUGGAGAUGGAGGACGCCCACACGGCCGUGGUGGGCCUCCCCCACGGACUCACCGACUGGUCCUUCUUCGCCGUCUACGACGGCCACGCCGGUUCCCGCGUGGCCAACUACUGCUCGGGCCACCUGCUGGAGCACAUCUUGUCGGGCGGCGCCGAGUUCAGCUCGGGGCCCGGCUCGGUGGAAGGCGUGAAGGACGGUAUCCGCGCCGGCUUCCUGAAAAUCGACGAGUACAUGCGCAGCUUCUCGGACCUGCGGCAGGGCCUGGACCGCAGCGGCUCCACGGCGGUGUGCGUGCUGCUCAGCCCCAGCCACCUCUACUUCAUUAACUGCGGAGACUCGCGGGCCGUGCUGAGCCGAGACAACAAGGUGGGCUUCUCCACGCAGGACCACAAGCCCUGCAACCCCCGCGAGAAGGAGCGCAUCCAGAAGGCCGGCGGCUCGGUCAUGAUCCAGAGGGUCAACGGCUCCCUGGCCGUUUCCCGGGCCCUGGGGGACUACGACUACAAAUGCGUGGACGGCAAAGGUCCCACGGAGCAGCUGGUGAGCCCCGAGCCCGAGGUCUGCGUGCUGGAGCGGGCGGCCCAGGGCGACGAGUUUGUGGUGCUGGCGUGCGACGGCAUCUGGGACGUCAUGUCCAACGAGGAGCUCUGCGAGUUUGUGCGUUCGCGGCUUCUGGUGUGCGAGGACCUGGAGAAGGUGUGCAACUCGGUGGUGGACACCUGCCUGCACAAGGGGAGCAGAGACAACAUGAGCGUGGUCCUGGUGUGUUUGCCCGGUGCCCCCCAACUCUCCGAGGAGGCCGUCAAGAAAGAGGAGGAGUUAGACAAAUAUCUGGAGGCCCGCGUCGGGGAGCUCCUGGCCAAUUGCGGCGAGGCCGGAACGCCCGACCUGGUGUCCGUGCUGAGGAGCAUCGCCACAGAGAACAUCCCCAACCUUCCGCCGGGGGGAGGCCUGGCGAGCAAACGAAGCGUGAUCGAAGCAGUGUACAACAAGCUGAACCCUCACAAAGAAGAAGAGGGGGCUCGUGCGGGGGGAGAGGAGGAGAGUGAGGAGGGAGAAGGUGGCGGCGGCGGCGGCGGCGGUGGCCCGGCGGCUCACCUGCUGGAGGCGCUGCGGCAGUUCCGCCUGCACCACCGGGGGCAGUACCACGCCGUCCUGGAGGACUCCCUGGCCGCCUACCAGCUGCGUCCCGAGGGAGCGGGCCAGCGCACGAUGACCGACGGCAGAGGCGGCGACCACGACCACCGGGAGCGAACCGCCUCCCCUCCCUCGCCCCCGCCCUCACCCGCCGCCGCCGACUCCGACGCCUGCCAGGACGCGCUCGCUCCCGAGUCCGAUCCCGCCUUUUGACUCCCGUCUUGACAGAGCGCUCCUCCUCCUUUCCUCCGUCACGUCGUUCCUCUCAAUCAGUGUAGCGUCUGUCUUGUCCGCCUUUUAACACCUGGCGCUGACUUCCCAAACUGCCCCCCCCGCCCCUUGCCCGCUUGUCACCCAGCCAGGCGGCCAUUUUGACCCUCUCCCACACCCUAGUCACAAUGGACAGGUCUAAGCGAGGACGAUCAGAACUGCCAUCGCGAACACACUCCACCGCUUUCUUUUCAGACUCGGAACACUUUCUCAUUGGUGUGUGUGUGUGUGUUGGUAUGCAAGGUUAUACUUAAGUUGUGAUGUAAGUGUGUGUUUGAACAGGUGAGCGAUGCUGCUGAGAUUCUUUUGUCUAUAAGCUAUUUUUGUAAACUGCAAAAUGUCUUGAAUGUGUGUGUUUGUGAUUAGCUUUGGGGGCUUUUUGACUGCCCCCCUCAAAUUCACCACUUUGAGGUUUCAGUGUUAACGACAACUCCAUCCGUGGCACGUUGAACAACACAGCUAGCGUUCAUUUUUCGUGUGUGUGUGUGUGUGUGUGUUGGGGGCUGGUUGGGUGUCACACUGCCAAGAGUCUGUCAGAAUCCAAAAUAAAUUGAAGCACUUUGUAACGACACAUCUUGCGGCAGAUGCCGUUGUUGAAAAUGUUGCAGGAGCAACAUUAGCACGGAGUCAGUCGCCUAGCAUGCUCAUUGUAAUUGUUUCUUACUGUAUGUUCAACUUCUGUAUCAUUAAUCAACUUUCAAAUUUGUGGUUUUUUGCACAGUCGAUAAACUGGCCUUGCGAUGAGAUUUACUGACCCUAAAGGGAACCUGAAGGCAUCACGCCAUCCUCCAGUUCCCCAAAGGUGGCAGAGUGCUUCUCGCUGGCGUUAAUAUCCUGGCGAGUUAUGCAAGAGGCAGCAUUUGAGGAUUAGCGCCUGGUUUUCAAGGCUAGCGGAUCCACAUCAAGAAUCCCAGUGGCAUUAUUGCCGAUGCCUUUGACGCAAUAAAAAAUCGAAAACUAACAAUGCUGACAUUGUGUCCAUUGUGCUGAUUGUCUUGGUGGCAAAAGGGUGGCCAACGAGCUUUUUUUUUUUCUUUGCUGUCUCAUAUUUAUCUGCUAGCCGCACGUUGCAUCUUUGACGCGGCGCUGAUGUGCGAGUUGGGCCGCUUGCAUAAGAGGAUCUGCGGCUGUCCUGGAGCUUAGCCAACGAUUUAAUGCCCCCCCCCCCCAUUUUGUUUUUUAUUCAUGCUCCCGUUCCUCAUGCUUCCCCCCAAUUUUAAUCUGAGUAAUUGCAUGUGUAUUCUAAGGGGAUGAUGUCAUCAGUUCUUGAAUAA